rnacentral:ncRNA from 1 species
UGCUGCGUACGCAACUGGCGAUAGGCACCCCACCCGCACGGGUCUGGCGGUGCCGAUGUGGGAACACCACGGGGGAGCGUGCCGCAACAUCCAUUGGGGUUUUGCGUUCAGCCGUUCGCCUGGGCAGCCCUG